AUUACCCAAAAACCCAUUGAAACAAUGGUUUCGGUUAACGAACGACCUUCUGGAACGGAUUGAGUUCGUUAAUGGAGGGGUCACUGUACCGAAUAAAGAAUUUCAUCCAACUUCUAAUAGUCUGCCUCCUGAGCUGAAUAAAAAUAACCCUCUUUUACAAUACAGUAUUUUAUCUGGUAAUGGCAUGAUUUUGAGCUGGGUGACCUGUACACACGGGGUUCAUUAUGUAAGAAUCUUUCAAAGUAAAAUCAUUGGAUUUAAGCAGUUUGGCAGGUAUAAAUAUUUGAUAUUUGUGUUUAGAAAUCUAAUUGUAUGUUUAUUUCAGGUUAUGGCAGCAACUUGAGCAUGGCAGAAUUUGCUACACUGAACCUUGCUUAGUUUCUCCUUGUUGGUAAGUUGCUCUUGAAUGUGCAAAUCAAAGAUGAUGGUGUUUUUGAAGAUGAGUAAAAUUGACUGGGUAAGAUACUUUUGGUAAUUGUAUUGCUGUUUACCUUUCUGUUAUGCUAAGUGUUUCAUCUGGCCUUACAUAAUCAAAUCAAAGAUUGCAUAGCAGACUGCUAAAAGUAAUACAUCUACCAAUAGUAUCUUGAAAUUCAUUUUCAAUCUUCUUCAAAAACCACCAUCAUGGAUUUACACAUUUGAAAGUAACUUACCAACAAGGAGAAACAAGCAAGGUUUAAUGUAGCCAUUUCUGCCAUGCUCAAGUUGCUGCCAGCUUCAUGGUCUAAACUUGGUUGGAGUUGCAAGAAGACGGCAGAAAAUUUUUUGAGUUUCAGCGGGAGACGUGCAUGUAGAGAGGAGGGACUUGACGUUAUGGCUGGGCCAUUGAGGUGUAAACUGCAGUGGUGAAGUUAGAUGUCAAGACCGUACCAGAGAUUAGGUUCUGGGUAUCUGAGGCCCCAAAAGCAUUGAAGAGGAAUUUUUAAAUACAGUUAUGGCAGCAACGUGAGUACGGCAGAAUUGGCAACAGGCUGAAUGUUGUUUGUUUCUCCUUGUUGGUGAGAUGCUUUUUGAAUGUCUAUGCAAAUCUAAGAUAAUGAUGGUAGUUUUAAAGAUGAGUGAAAUUGACUUUAAGAUACUACUGUACCGUACUUUUUCUAGAUGAUUUUGCUGUUGUUAUGCUAAGUGCUUGAUUUGAAUACAGAGUACUUUGACAUUAUGGUACAUAUUCAGAUGAAAUGCCAAGCAUUUUGUAUGAAUAUGUAAUGCCAAAGUAUUCAGAUAAAAUGCUUAGCCUAACACUGCUAAACAGAAAAAUCAACUACCAAGAGUAUAUUAGACAGUCUUAUUUCACUCAUCUUCAGAGCUACUGUCAUUAUCUUAGAUUUGCAAACAUUCAAAAAGCAUCUCACCAACAAGGAGAAACAAGCAACAUACAGCGUGUAGUGAAUUCUGCCAUGUUUCUGGUCAAACUUACCAGGUGAGCUGCAGCCUCUCUUCAGAAAUGACCCCUCAAAAAACCUGGAAAAAUCGAAAAAAGUUUAAGUCCAAUAAUGGCUGUAUUUUGUCUUAGUAAAUAAUAAAGAGAGUUUGAGGA